GAAGGGCGAGGAGGAGCGUUUUCUCCGCCAAGCAGCGGCGGGAGGAGGGGCUGCAGGUGGGAGGAGGCGCAGGCUGCGCGCCGCGGCGCCCCUGCGGAGAGGGGCAGCUAACUGCAGCACGCCCGGCUCCGCUGCCCGCGCCCGGCGGGGUCCCGCCGCGAAGCCCCGUGCUUAAGGUCCGGGCCGCCCGCGUCCGCUCGGCAGGCCCUGCGCCGCCUCCUACUCCGGGCCGCGGCGUCUCCUGCCUGCGCGGGGCUAGCGUGGGCGCCGGGGCCGCAACCAGCGCGCGCCACGCGCGGGGGCCCGCGGGGGCCCUCGGGGCCGAGGAGCUGGGCGCUCGCCUGCACCGAGCCGCCUCCUCAUGCCGCGCCGGGCCCCGGCGCCCCGCGGCCGCCGCGGGAGCUGAGCACAGGCCAGGGCGGCGUCCCGGCCAGCGACGAACGCGCUCCGACUCCGGCCGCCGCCAGCUGCCUGCCUGGCCGCAAGGGCGGCAGCGGCAUUACCGCCGCGCGCCCGGGGUGAGGCGCCCCCGCCGGGCCCGCGGACACCAGGCGAAGAGCAACCGGGCGACGCGCGCUGCGGGCAGAGCCGGGGAGCCGGAAGAGCAGAGGCCGAGCGCCGUCGGAGCCGCGUCUGGUUGGAGAAAGAGGCGGACGUGAAGGGGCGGGGGAGCCGCGGAGGAAAACCGGGACCGGCGGGAACGUCUCGAGACCCCUGCGCGCUUCGCGCGCUCGCUCGGAACUCGGCAGGCGGCGCUGCGCCGGGCCCCGAGGAAACCUGGAGGUCCCCGCCCUCCCCGCGCCCGAAACACCGCGCGUCCUGAUAGGCCCGCGCCCAGCAGCCCCCUCCCCGCGCCCGCCGCACCGGGGCCCCACCGCCUCCUGCGUCACCGCCGCCCCCGCCCGCCCGGGGACCCCGCGGUGACCGCGCUGCUGGGGGUUGAGGGACGCGUUGCGAGCCCCGGAUACAUUGUACCCUGGGGGUACAUAAUGAAGGAUGCUGUACCUGAAAGGAAAAGGGCAUCUCCAAAAGGGGACUUCGCGGGUGGAAUUUCCUUCCAAAAUCCUCGAGGAACAAGGUGUAUUUCCGACCUGGAUUAAUGAAUCCCCCCUCCUAUCCCGCACUUCCUGUGGAAACAGUGUCAGGAUGUGGCGCGGACCUAUGUGCGUCCCUUAUACCAGGACUUGCCUUCAACGCUGAAGGUGAACCCUGGGUCAUCCUCGCUGUAUUCAGGCGGCGCUGCAAAGGCUUCUGGGCAGCCAAUAGGCCCUUGAGCGCCUCAGCCCCAUCUUGCUUCAGUAGGCAAACGGACGGGUGUCUUCAUCCACCUCCUAGGCCGUGGUCUACCCUUCGUUCAAAUGUUUCUUCCUGCUAGCUGACUGUCCAGGUCCUUAGCUGUAUCACAUUGUUCAAAUGUGUGUGCGCAGGUGUUUCUUUUUCAACUAAUCAUGCAGGAAGUGGCGGGAUGCCUUACUGCCAUUAUUUGCUGAGUAUUUCCAGAUGGAACUGUAGUUGAUAGCCAAUAAAUUUGGUACGUUUUUAUCGGGAUGCGCAUGCCAUAGAUCGUCCCUGAGAUAAUGCUUUGCAAUGUGGAACCUGAAACACCUAUGUAUAAGCCCAAGCCUUUCAUUAAUAUUAACUGUGAGACCCCUGGAAGCUACUACUUUGUGUGAGCCUGUUUUCUCCGCCCUCAAACAGUGGAUAUAAUACCCCCUUGCAAGGCUGUGAGAUUAAAUGGAUAACUGUGCAUAAUGCUAAGCAUGGUGUCUGGGACGUAAGAGGUUCCUUAUAUCCCAUUAGUUCACUAGGUGGGAUCACCAAGUUGAAAUUCAUUUUUUAAUAUUUUGCUUGUUGGAGUACUCACAACUCAACUUCUCUGGCUAAUUUGAUGUUUAAUUUGAAAGGUAAUGACACUAUUUUGUAACAUUUUUAGAUGCUUAAGGGAAAUUUGAAAUGCAAAGUGGAACAACAUUAAAAGGAAACUCAUUUGUAAAAUAAAGAAAAACAAAAUCUAUGCAAGCCAAAGAAGUCAUGAAUGCUGAGGAAGCAAAAAUUGUGAUUUUCCCCUCUCCAAUCCCACUGUUCAUUUAUCUUUAUUUGCAUCAGUUAGACUGGUUGUUUACAAAGCUAAUACCACCAUACCACUAGUCAAAAGAGAGUUCCAUACCUUUGCUGACCUAGUGGUAGACCAUUCUUCUCAGGCAAGGUUGGCUUUUUCAAAGGAAAGUUUACUAUAAACUGAGAGAGAAGUAGUAACAUUAUAGAAUUUGAUGAUUCAUCUAUAAGAAAUCUGAAGACUGUACAGAUGAACCUAGCUGGCAUAGAUGACUGCCAUCGGUUUCUCCCCUAAUUUUAACCCUAUCUCUUGAUUUCUCUUGUUCGGCAAGUGUCCCCCACGGUACUUGUUAAGACUGAUUAGCUCUCCCCAGGAGUAGACUUUUAUCUGUUGUACCAGAAAACAAGCCUAGUCGGUGCAGCCAUUGUUGUGAGGAUUAAAUUAAAUGAAUUAAUGCCUGUAAAGAGCAUGGGAGAGGCUGGUACAUGGUAAGCACCAUUCGAGUAUUUGUAAAAUAUAUUUUUAGAAAUCUCUCCUUGCAGUCACUCUCUGUCCACAGUAACAAAUGAUGGUUGUCUCUUUCUGCUUAAACACCAAAUUUCCUAGUGGGUCACCCAUUAAGUCUGUCUCUCAUAGUCUGAGGGAUGCCUCAGGGUCUCAGCUCAUGUUUAAAACAGAGAUAGAUUAAAUACUCAGUGCACAGGAAAUGCUAACUGAGCCUUUCCAAACCCACAAUAUCAACUGAUAUUUCCUCAGGAGCCAAGUAAGCCCCAUAACAGAGGAAUGACCUUGCAGAAAUCUAAAAGUCUAUUUUUUAAUGCCAUUAAAAAGAUCUUAAUCCUGUAAUAGUGAGACAUAACUUACAACAGUAAGACAGAAAUAAAUUUUAUUUAAUGGCUUUGUUCUAAGUUUAUUACCACCAAGUAUUCCUUUUAUUAUUUUCUGUCCACUAGGGACACCGUGCUCUUAAAUAUUUGGGUAUCAAACUGAAUAAAUUAAAUCAUAAUUAAUGGUUUUCUAGUUGUAUUAAUAAGAAGUAUACACAGAUUGCAACUGAAAAAAGAAAAAUGUACUUGUUA
rnacentral:lncRNA from 1 species